rnacentral:rRNA from 1 species
UACAGAGGGUGCAAGCGUUAAUCGGAAUUACUGGGCGUAAAGCGCGCGUAGGUGGUUCGUUAAGUUGGAUGUGAAAUCCCCGGGCUCAACCUGGGAACUGCAUUCAAAACUGUCGAGCUAGAGUAUGGUAGAGGGUGGUGGAAUUUCCUGUGUAGCGGUGAAAUGCGUAGAUAUAGGAAGGAACACCAGUGGCUAAGGCGACCACCUGGACUGAUACUGACACUGAGGUGCGAAAGCGUGGGGAGCAAACAGG